rnacentral:rRNA from 1 species
UAAGAGAGUGCCCGCAAGGGAGCCCGAAGACAGGUGCUGCAUGGCUGUCGUCAGCUCGUGUCGUGAGAUGUUGGGUUAAGUCCCGCAACGAGCGCAACCCUUAUCUUCAGUUACCAUCAUUUAGUUGGGGACUCUGGAGAUACUGCCCCGGUUAACGGGGAGGAAGGUGGGGAUGACGUCAAGUCCUCAUGGCCUUUAUAUCCAGGGCUACACACGUGCUACAAUGGUCCGUACAAAGGGUUGCAAGCCUGCGAGGGUGAGCUAAUCCCGAAAAGCGGAUCUCAGUUCGGAUUGGAGUCCGCAACUCGACUCCAUGAAGUUGGAAUCGCUAGUAAUCGUGGAUCAGCAUGCCACGGUGAAUACGUUCCCGGGCCUU